CCUACGGGAGGCAGCAGUGAGGAAUAUUGGUCAAUGGGCGAGAGCCUGAACCAGCCAAGUCGCGUGAGGGAGUACUGCCCUAUGGGUUGUAAACCUCUUUUGUCGGGGAGCAAAAGCCGGACGUGUCCGGCUGUGAGAGUACCCGAAGAAAAAGCAUCGGCUAACUCCGUGCCAGCAGCCGCGGUAAUACGGAGGAUGCGAGCGUUAUCCGGAUUUAUUGGGGUUAAAGGGUGCGCAGGCGGAUUUUUACGUCAGCGGUCAAAUCGUGGGGCUCAACCCCAUCCAGCCGUUGAAACUGGGGAUCUAGAGUGUGCGAGAGGUAUGCGGAAUGCGUGGUGUAGCGGUGAAAUGCAUAGAUAUCACGCAGAACCCCGAUUGCGAAGGCAGCAUACCGGUGCACAACUGACGCUCAGGCACGAAAGCGUGGGUAUCGAACAGGAUUAGAUACCCUUGUAGUC
rnacentral:rRNA from 1 species